AGUGACUGAUGAUUUAAUCGAAUAGAUGUUUGGAGUGUUGAUUAGUGUUAGCCUAGGUGUGUUAGAGCGCAUGAUUGAUUCGGGUUUAUGGAUAUUACAUACCAUGGGCAGACUAAUUGGUGGUCUUCACGAAGGAAGUUUCACGAAAUGGAACUAUAGUUUUUUUUAAUGAAUGUUAGAUUAUAUUCGCAGAAAAAUCAGUACAUCAAAUGCAUAAGUGUUUUAUGAAAUUAAUCAAGAAACUAUCUUCUACUCUCUCCUCCCAAACCAAUACGGUAAGAUGCCGUUUAGUUUCCCUCCCUUUUAGCUUUUAUAAGACUUAACUUGUUUCUGAUGUUUUUAUCAACGGUUUUCUCUAAAACUUGCGACAGCAUUGGGUUUCACCAUGUUCCGCUCUCUCCAUAGUAUGUAUAAUGUAUCACACAUUGGAAAGCAUACUUAUAAUACAAAUCACAGGAAGUGUAGCCAAUUCAAGAACUGACAAAUUUAUAAGAUUGUA
rnacentral:lncRNA from 1 species